UUAUCGCAGUUUUAAAAAUUGGCACUUUUUGAAGAACCCACAUCAAAGUAUUGUGUUAAAUCCAAUUUAUGAAGCAGUAGGUGCAUGGCAUGGUCGUUGCUUGUUGUGAGUUCUGACGAGGACAGCUGAGUGAUGUUGUUGGUGAGCUUGGAUUAAAUCAUCUCUAAACAAAGAACUUGUCCUCGUGGUGACUGACUUGGGGAGUGGAGGUCAGUGAGCCCAUUGUCUCUGCUGGUCCGACUCCAACUACAAAGCCAAGCUCGCCCCCUCCUGAGUCUGAGAGGAGAUCCAGAGAGAAAGAAGUGAAAGCAGGCCGAAACCUCAGCACAUGGAUGACAUCAGCCAAAAACAUCCAGUACCAGCAAGUAAAGAUGAGCCAGGGGCGAUCCCUGUGGAAAAGACUUUUCCCGCUAUGAAGCAGCCCAGAAGACGCAAGCGCGCCAACAGGGAGGACAGAAGCUUGAGCUGUGAUCAGUGUGGGAAGUCUUUUACUCAGAUUUGUAACUUGAAAUCACAUCAGCUGAUCCACAGCGGUGUGAAACCAUUCAGUUGUGGUCAGUGUGGAAAGUCUUUUAUUCAGAGUCAUGGAUUAAAAACACAUCAGCUGAUCCACAGUGGAGAGAAACCUUUCAGCUGCAAUCAGUGUGGAAAGUCUUUUACUCAGAUGGGUAAUUUAAAAACACAUCAGCUCAUCCACAGUGGAGAGAAACCUUUCAGCUGUGAGCAGUGUGGAAAGUCUUUUGCUUAUGUUAGUAACUUAAAAAGACAUCAGCGCAUCCACAGUGGAGAGAAACCUUUCAGCUGUGAGCAGUGUGGAAAGUCCUUUACUCACAUUGCUGCCUUAAAAUCACAUCAGCUCAUCCACUCUGGUACUAAACAAUUUGUAUGUGGUGACUGUGGAAAGGCUUUUUUUGAGAUUGAAAGGUUAAAAGCACAUCAGCUCACCCACUCUGGUAUUAAACAAUUUUUAUGUGGUCUCUGUGGAAAGGCUUUUACUCACAUGACUAGCUUAAAGUCACAUCAGCGCACCCACUCUGGAGUUAAAUCAUUUGUAUGUUGUCAGUGUGGAAAGUCUUUUGCUACGUAUUAUUAUCUAAGAAAGCACAAUGUCAUCCACUCUGGAGUUAAACCACUGAAAUGUGAGUAGUGUGGAAAGUCUUUCAUCCAUAACACAUCUAAAUCAUAAACAGAUCUAUUGAGGUAUCAGAAAAUCCACAAAGUGUCCUCCUGUGAGAAAAGGGGCAGACCAAUGGGACAUUACCCUGACAGGGUUCAUUUAAACACAGUGGGAGAAACAGGGGUCUGAACAAAAGUCCUUCUGGAUGCUGCGUCAAACUUAAAAAAAAAGCUUGAAAUCAGGCUUCACAGAAUCGCAGCCUGUGUUCCAUUUUGUUUCAUGCAUUUAAUUUACUGGUGCAUCUUUGUUGUCUUAUAUUUUGUCUUACAGGAUGUGAGUCUGUUUUGCUUCAUGAAGAGACAAACCUAAUGUUUUUUAUGUUGCACUGAAAAUAUUAUUACUGUAAGUCAUAAAUGUGUGUCA